UAAGGACGAGGGGACAAAAUAUUUGGACAGGAGCAGUGACAAUGUAGAGAUUUGCCCUUCAUAAAACAACAAUACGGCAGCUUCUGCAAGACUGACGGCGUCCUUGACAAAUCAGGGUUCGCCCACACAGAAACAAGCAGCCAAUGUGUACUGGCGGGAGGAGGGAGCCAGGACUUACUUUUGAUGACAGACGAUCGAUUUGUUUCCAUGUUAGUGUUGGAGGUAAGGAAAGCGUUUCUUCCAUUUGUAGGAUGGCGCGUUAAAUAUGUUCCCAUCACUUUACGUAAAACUUUGCACAGAGUCAACUUGGUGCUGAUGUUGGUGAAGAAUCAGGACCAUUGACACAUUAGAAUGAAGUCCACACACGUUAAUCUUGUCGUGGCUGGAUAUAUAUCAGGAACAUUCACCAUCCUGUUGUCCUCUGGAAAAGGGUUGCGUCCCACUCACUUCGGUCCAAGUCUGAAGAAGGGUCUCGACCCGAAGCGUCUUACCCAUUCCUUCUCUCCAGAGAUGCUGCCUGUCCGGCUGAGUUACUCCAGUAUUUUGCGUCUACGUUCCAAGAAAACCCGAUCUCCAAUUUUGCAAACUCCUGCAAACUAAAAUACCAGAAUGAUUAAAUUAGUUUUUUUGUUCUUUUUAUUGAUGGUCUGGACUGUUACGAAAACUUUUUAUUCACGACCAUGAAAUAUGUUUCGCUUGUAAAGCUAGCUAUGUUGGAAUUUGAACUCGGGGUUUUGGAUUAUUCGUCUAGGUCUUCGUGUUACUGCAGAACCUAACAUUGUCCGUGUUUAUCUUGGGCCUGGUGUCUCAUCGAUAUAGUAAAUUGCAAAAGAUGGUACCUUCAACAAUAAAGCAAUUCUGCCUGCAUUGGAUGUCGGCCUCGGUGUUUGAGUCAGUCUGUGUAGAGAGAUUUUGCCCAAAAGCUAUAUCCAAUAUGAAAAUAUUACCACGUGGGUCUCGGCAUAAGGGAGACAUUUAUACAUUUUUAAAUUUUCCAACCUUCAACAGAUAUUUCUAUAUGUACCCACCUUGCCCACAUUGUUUUGUUGGAACUAUCUAUGAAACAGAAAUAAUAUCCCAGCCUCCCUUCCAUAGGUAUAUACAUAUAGCUGCAAUUUGAUAAUCAUCCCACAAUCCUGGACAGCGAUUGAAUUGACAUGGAAUAAUGUUCGUUUAGUUAUUUUCUUCGAGAGAACAUUAUUGCUGUGAAUGGGUGAAAAAUUAAACGUUAACAAUGGACUUUAAUCAUGGCUGGGUGAAUCCAACCAAAUAGAUACUGAUACAUUUUGUUAGAACCAUGACAGAUAUUGGAGCAACAGCAUGUGAAAUAACUGAAUUGGAAAAUGAAGAAGUUCACAGUAUUUUGGUUUGUAAAAUUAUAUAAUGAAAGUUGGGGAUUUGGUCUUUCUGAGAAUAAUAUUUCCAGAUUUGCACGUAACAAAUGACAUGGGUCUUUAGGUGAGUUCAUUGAUGGACUCAAUGUUGACAUGGGAUAUAUCACAGCCACUGCAUUUUAACCACAUUGACAGAAAUGGACAGUAUCGUUUAUUGUCUGAAUUUAUGUACUUCACUAGCAACAUAUCCGCAAUUACAUCAAAGAUUCUCCUAACCUUGUUAAGCUCUUAAUUCAGUAAAUUACCACAUUGGCAAAGGUUCCAAUAAUGUUUCCACUCUUGAAUCAACAAUUAAAUUACUGAAGUCUGUAUGGCAGUUUCUAAAUUACCACAUCUCCUAACCAAUUUUGAAUGCCACUUUUCAAAGGCAGGAGAUGCCGUCAAUGAGCAAAGAUAAGACCAAAACAUUUGCACUCCAACACACUGUAUUCUGUUUCUAUGACAAUAUUCAUUCACCAGUGCCCUUGGUUUGAUAUCAAUCCUAAAGAAAAUUAAAAGGUAAAUCACUUGAAGCAAAGUUGCCCUCACGCAAUAUAAUAAUUGUUCUUAUGUAAUUUAUUUCCUCUUGGAACCUUUAAUUUCAAAUUGCACUUUAUUGAUGAAGUACCAGUUGACCCUUUGACUCCUAAAUAAAAUGAGAUUGCGUAACACUAAUCCAAUUCUAUUUUGCUCAAAUUAACAGAUAAUAAUGCCCAAAACUCACCAUUGAUUGGCAUUACAGUGGUAGGUAGUCUUAAUCUGAUUUAAUAAAAAGGGCCAGUAUAAAUAAUUAAAAUGUCACAAUGCUGUUAUACAAUGGUGGUCAGUUUAAGGUAAGGAUGUGGAGUUAAAAACAAGAGUUUUCCCUUCUGUAAGGUCUGCCAAUGUUGGGGGGGAUAUCUAUAGUUUACUGUGGACAUUACUAAUCAAUAUGAACAAAACAUUAAUCAAAAAUUAUAACCUAAGACACAGUUCAGAGGAAUAGUUUGCAAUAAACUGCGGUUUAAGGAUAUAAUGCUUGAUUAAGAAUAAUGAAAUUAACCAUCAUUAGUGCUUAAUAUCUGAACAUUUUUGGGCACAAAGAAAUCAAUAAAGCAUGUUAAAUGUAUUUUAAAAUAAAGGUUGUAAUGUGUUGUCAGCAUAAUUUGAAUAUACUGUUGCAUGCUAUGUGGUUUAACUGUGGGAAGCACACUUCAUGAAGCAUGUAGAAUUGGAGUGAACUGAGACUGCAACUGGAUUUCAGAUUAACUGGCUUUAAGAAAAAAUUCUCAAUGCUUCAGUAACUUGAGAGCUGAUGAUCUGUCUUCCAUCUGUUUCCUCCUUAGGAGCCACAAAAUACGAUUAAUGUUUGCAAUGACAGUAAGCUCUGGUGUGUUAUAAUUAAAGGGCAGUUUUUAUGAA